rnacentral:tRNA from 1 species
GUCCCAGAUGCUCGACGGCCGAGCACCCGCCUCUAAAGCGGUCUUCAGCGGGUUCGACUCCCGCCUGGGGCA